CAAAAACUAGCAUCUAGCAGAAUCAUUACAUGCGUGCCAAGUGUGUGUCACAAAAACUUCUGAUACAUGUUUCAUCUUGCAGAGUUAAUGAUCAGCUGUAAGUUGGAGUGCAAGUUCCCGAUAACCUCAGCUUAUGUUCAACCUGGUGGUGUUUGCUGUGUGGGGGAUUGUGGGUUUUGUAGUGAUCUUAAAUUAUUGCAGGUGUACUGCAUGUGGGAGA
rnacentral:lncRNA from 1 species